AAGACUAAACUUUCAGGGAUCAUUUCUAUAGUUGUCAAUCAGAACACCACGUCCUACACCUUGCAAACAGGUCAAAAUGCAAUGUU
ensembl:snoRNA U3 Small nucleolar RNA U3